UACAGAGGGUGCAAGCGUUAAUCGGAAUUACUGGGCGUAAAGCGUGCGUAGACGGUUACAUAAGUCGGGUGUGAAAGCCCCGGGCUCAACCUGGGAAUUGCAUUCGAGACUGCGUAGCUAGGGUGCGGAAGAGGGAAGCGGAAUUUCCGGUGUAGCGGUGAAAUGCGUAGAUAUCUGGAGGAAUACCGGUGGCGAAGGCGGCAUCCUGGACCGAGAUUGACACUGAUGAGCGAAAGCCAGGGGAGCAAACGGG
rnacentral:rRNA from 1 species